GAUGAACGCUGGCGGCGUGCCUAAUACAUGCAAGUCGAGCGAACAGAUAAGGCUCUUGCUCCUUUGACGUUUGCGGCGGACGGGUGAGUAACACGUGGGUAACCUACCUAUCAGACUGGGAUCACUUCGGGAAACCGGCGCUAAUACCGGAUAACAUUUGGCACCGCAUGGUUCUAAAGUGAAAGAUGGUUUUGCUAUCACUUCUAGAUGGACCCGCGCCGUAUUAGCUAGUUGGUACGGUAACGGCUUACCAAGGCAACGAUACGUAGCCGACCUGAUAGGGUGAUCGGCAACAUUGGAACGGAGCCACGGUCCAGACUCCUAAGGGAGGCAGCAGUAGGGAAUCGGCCGCAAUGGUCGAAAGCCUGACGGAGCAACGCGGAGUGAGAGAUGAAGGGGUUCGGCUCGUAAAACUCGGUUAUUAGGGAAGAACAAACGUGUAAGUAACUGUGCACGGCUUGACGGUAACUAAUCAGAAAGCCACGGCUAACUACGUG
rnacentral:rRNA from 1 species